UCCCCGGUUGCUCUGCUGGCACGGGCGGGCGGACUUUGAAUCCGUCUUUCGUUGGUUCGAUUCCAACCCGGGGAG
rnacentral:tRNA from 1 species